GGUUCCAUAGCUCAGUGGUAGAGCAUCAGAACAAUAUCCAGACGGAAACUGGAGAGGUCCUGGGUUCGAAUCCCAGUGGAAUCA